UGGUACACUUAUAUGUACAUAAAAGCUUUUAACCGACUAUAUAACAAUAAAUAACUCCUUUUAAGGUGGUUAUACGCGUGAUAAGGGAAAAUUACAAAAGCAUAGAGCGAAACGGAAAAUUUUGCUCACGUGAUAUAAAAUAUAGAUAAAGAUAUUUUUUAAUUAAAUAUAAUAUACAUCUGUGUAUAUAUAUUUAUAUAUAAUAAUCGUAAAACAAAUAAUCUGUACUCGUGAUAUUCCUGAAACUGCAACGUUACGAUAAUACGCGAAUAUUGUAUACGUGGAUGUAAUAUAUUGUUGCUUAUAUUUUAUUUAAUGAAAAACAAAUAAAAUUUAUCAUCUCCUGCGAGACGGACGAAGUUGUAAUAAAAGAUAACAUAAAAAUAAAAGUGUAGAGCUGCUUGUUUCUUAAAUGUUUUGAAAAACAAAUUUCGAUAAAAAUUGGUCCAUCCUAAAAUCCACCUAAAUGGAUCACCUGGUGCAUUCUCUGCUAUACUCAGAAUCUA